rnacentral:lncRNA from 1 species
GACAGUGUGACCUUGGCCAAGACCUGACCCCGCCGUGGCUUGGCCACUCCGGCCUGGGCUGUGCGAAUCAAAGGGUCAUUGUCUGGCUGGCGUGGGUUCCGGCCCUCUCCGGGGAAACCGAGGCCAGCUGCCAGUGGCCUCCUGCUCCCGGCUCUGUCUUCCCUAACCCAGAGGCUCUGUGCAGGGUGACCUCUAACAGGUCACUGACCCUUUCCAGAGCGCCGCCUCCUCCUGAGACCCCAGUGAUGACCUCCCCUCUCCCGGCUCUGCCCCUCUCCCCACCCUAUCCAGGCCCGAGGCUCAUCCUAGGACUUCCAGCCCGCAGCCUGGCCCCUGCGGCCCACUUCCUACCCCAGCUGCCAUAACACUUCUCCCUGGCUCAGACACCCACCGUGGCUCCUCGUGGCCUCUGCUCACCCCCCAGGCUUCUGUCUCCCUCCAGGUACAUCCUGACAGGUAAACAGACAGUGACAAUCCAGUGUUGUUCUGUGGCGGAGGAUGCCCAGAUGGCAAAGGUGCCCCAGGCCUGACCCGGGCCUGGGGGAGACUGAGGAAGGCUUCCCAGAGGAAAGAGACGUUGAGGUUGAGACUCGAACGUCAGACGGAGCGGCAGGGGUGUGCGCUGGAAACAGACGCUUGUGCUGUGAGUGAGGGGGAGAGCAGUGGGGGGUGGUCAGCAGAACGGCGGUCCCAGAGACCAUGGGGCCCUCAUCCCUAGAACCCGUGGGUGUCCCACCCUCCCUGGCCAAAGGGGCUCUGCAGAUGGGACUGAGUUGAGGGCUUUCACACAGGGGUUCAUCCUGGGUUAUACGGAUGGCCCACUGUCCUGGAAGGGUCCGUAGAAGAGGAGAUGCCUGGCCGGGCGCGGUGGUUCACACCUGUGAACCACCAACACAUUAGGUUCACACCUGUGAACCUCCAACACAUUAGGAGGCCGAGGCAGGCAGAUCACUUGAGGUCAGGAG